rnacentral:rRNA from 1 species
CAUCGGUCCAAUCCUUAAAGUCAUCCUCAGUUCGGACUGGGGUCUGCAACCCGACCCCACGAAGCUGGAUUCGCUAGUAAUCGCGCAUCAGCCAUGGCGCGGUGAAUACGUUCCCGGGCCUUGUACACACCGCCCGUCAAGCCAUGAAAGCCGGGGGCGCCUGAAGUCCGUGACCGCGAGGGUCGGCCUAGGGUGAAACCGGUGAUUGGGGCUAAGUCGUAACAAGGUAAC